GACGAACGCUGGCGGCGCGCCUAACACAUGCAAGUCGAACGAGCGAGAGAGAGCUUGCUUUCUCAAGCGAGUGGCGAACGGGUGAGUAACGCGUGAGGAACCUGCCUCACACUCUUGGACAGCCUUCUGAAAGGGAGAUUAAUACAAGAUGUUAUCAUGAGUAAGCAUUUUCACAUGAUUAAAGGUUUACCGGUGUAAGAUGGGGAUGCGUUCCAUUAGAUAGUAGGCGGGGUAACGGCCCACCUAGUCUUCGAUGGAUAGGGGUUCUGAGAGGAAGGUCCCCCACAUUGGAACUGAGACACGGUCCAA
rnacentral:rRNA from 1 species